rnacentral:rRNA from 1 species
AAUCCAUAGGUUAAUGAGGCGAACCGGGGGAACUGAAACAUCUAAGUACCCCGAGGAAAAGAAAUCAACCGAGAUUCCCCCAGUAGCGGCGAGCGAACGGGGAGGAGCCCAGAGCCUGAAUCAGCAUGUGUGUUAGUGGAAGCGUCUGGAAAGGCGCGCGAUACAGGGUGACAGCCCCGUACACAAAAGCGCAUGUGCUGUGAGCUCGAUGAGUAGGGCGGGACACGUGGUAUCCUGUCUGAAUAUGGGGGGACCAUCCUCCAAGGCUAAAUACUCCUGACUGACCGAUAGUGAACCAGUACCGUGAGGGAAAGGCGAAAAGAACCCCGGCGAGGGGAGUGAAAAAGAACCUGAAACCGUGUACGUACAAGCAGUGGGAGCACCCUUUGGGUGUGACUGCGUACCUUUUGUAUAAUGGGUCAGCGACUUAUAUUCUGUAGCAAGGUUAACCGAAUAGGGGAGCCGGAGGGAAACCGAGUCUUAAUUGGGCGUUAAGUUGCAGGGUAUAGACCCGAAACCCGGUGAUCUAGCCAUGGGCAGGUUGAAGGUUGGGUAACACUAACUGGAGGACCGAACCGACUAAUGUUGAAAAAUUAGCGGAUGACCUGUGGCUGGGGGUGAAAGGCCAAUCAAACCGGGAGAUAGCUGGUUCUCCCCGAAAGCUAUUUAGGUAGCGCCUCGUGAAUUCAUCUCCGGGGGUAGAGCACUGUUUCGGCUAGGGGGCCAUCCCGGCUUACCAACCCGAUGCAAACUGCGAAUACCGGAGAAUGUUAUCACGGGAGACACACGGCGGGUGCUAACGUCCGUCGUGAAGAGGGAAACAACCCAGACCGCCAGCUAAGGUCCCAAAGUCAUGGUUAAGUGGGAAACGAUGUGGGAAGGCCCAGACAGCCAGGAUGUUGGCUUAGAAGCAGCCAUCAUUUAAAGAAAGCGUAAUAGCUCACUGGUCGAGUCGGCCUGCGCGGAAGAUGUAACGGGGCUAAACCAUGCACCGAAGCUGCGGCAGCGACACUGUGUGUUGUUGGGUAGGGGAGCGUUCUGUAAGCCUGUGAAGGUGUGUCGUGAGGCAUGCUGGAGGUAUCAGAAGUGCGAAUGCUGACAUAAGUAACGAUAAAGCGGGUGAAAAGCCCGCUCGCCGGAAGACCAAGGGUUCCUGUCCAACGUUAAUCGGGGCAGGGUGAGUCGACCCCUAAGGCGAGGCCGAAAGGCGUAGUCGAUGGGAAACGGGUUAAUAUUCCCGUACUUGGUGUUACUGCGAAGGGGGGACGGAGAAGGCUAUGUUGGCCGGGCGACGGUUGUCCCGGUUUAAGUGUGUAGGUGUGUGUUCCAGGUAAAUCCGGUUCACUUUAACACUGAGGCGUGACGACGAGGCACUACGGUGCUGAAGCAACAAAUGCCCUGCUUCCAGGAAAAGCCUCUAAGCAUCAGGUAACAUCAAAUCGUACCCCAAACCGACACAGGUGGUCAGGUAGAGAAUACCAAGGCGCUUGAGAGAACUCGGGUGAAGGAACUAGGCAAAAUGGUGCCGUAACUUCGGGAGAAGGCACGCUGACACGUAGGUGAAGUGAUUUACUCAUGGAGCUGAAGUCAGUCGAAGAUACCAGCUGGCUGCAACUGUUUAUUAAAAACACAGCACUGUGCAAACACGAAAGUGGACGUAUACGGUGUGACGCCUGCCCGGUGCCGGAAGGUUAAUUGAUGGGGUCAGCGCAAGCGAAGCUCCUGAUCGAAGCCCCGGUAAACGGCGGCCGUAACUAUAACGGUCCUAAGGUAGCGAAAUUCCUUGUCGGGUAAGUUCCGACCUGCACGAAUGGCGUAAUGAUGGCCAGGCUGUCUCCACCCGAGACUCAGUGAAAUUGAACUCGCUGUGAAGAUGCAGUGUACCCGCGGCAAGACGGAAAGACCCCGUGAACCUUUACUAUAGCUUGACACUGAACAUUGAGCCUUGAUGUGUAGGAUAGGUGGGAGGCUUUGAAGUGUGGACGCCAGUCUGCAUGGAGCCGACCUUGAAAUACCACCCUUUAAUGUUUGAUGUUCUAACGUGGACCCGUUACCCGGGUUGCGGACAGUGUCUGGUGGGUAGUUUGACUGGGGCGGUCUCCUCCUAAAGAGUAACGGAGGAGCACGAAGGUUGGCUAAUCCUGGUCGGACAUCAGGAGGUUAGUGCAAUGGCAUAAGCCAGCUUGACUGCGAGCGUGACGGCGCGAGCAGGUGCGAAAGCAGGUCAUAGUGAUCCGGUGGUUCUGAAUGGAAGGGCCAUCGCUCAACGGAUAAAAGGUACUCCGGGGAUAACAGGCUGAUACCGCCCAAGAGUUCAUAUCGACGGCGGUGUUUGGCACCUCGAUGUCGGCUCAUCACAUCCUGGGGCUGAAGUAGGUCCCAAGGGUAUGGCUGUUCGCCAUUUAAAGUGGUACGCGAGCUGGGUUUAGAACGUCGUGAGACAGUUCGGUCCCUAUCUGCCGUGGGCGCUGGAGAACUGAGGGGGGCUGCUCCUAGUACGAGAGGACCGGAGUGGACGCAUCACUGGUGUUCGGGUUGUCAUGCCAAUGGCACUGCCCGGUAGCUAAAUGCGGAAGAGAUAAGUGCUGAAAGCAUCUAAGCACGAAACUUGCCCCGA